rnacentral:rRNA from 1 species
GGUAUCGCCGUUAGUCAUGUGCAAAUAUGGAUAGCUGUUUUAGCCGUCUUUAUUGACUGGUUUAUAAGAGUUAUCAGAUAUCACUUUGAUUAAAUUAGAGUGCUUAAAGCAAGUGUGUUACUUGGAUAUAAAUGCAUGGAAUGAUGGAAUAUGUUGUUAUUCUAUUUGUUGGUUUUUGAAUGAUAAAAUGAUUGAAAGGAACUGUUGGGGGCAAUCGUAUUGUUGUGAGAGAGGCGAAAUUCUUAGACCACAGCAAGACGAACUACUGCGAAAGCAUUUGCCAAGAAUGUUUUCAUUGAUCAAGAACGAAAGUUAGAGGUUCGAAGGCGAUCAGAUACCGCCCUAGUUCUAACCAUAAACUAUGCCAACUAGCAAUUUGCUUUGUAUUUUUUAUGACUAAGUGAGAGGCCACGGGAAACCUAAGUAGGGUUAUGGGGGAAGUAUGGUUGCAAAGCUGAAACUUAAAGGAAUUGACGGAAGGGCACCACCAGGAGUGGAGCCUGCGGCUUAAUUUGACUCAACACGGGAAAACUUACCUGGUCCUGACACUAGAAGGAUUGACAGAUUGAUAGCUCUUUCUUGAUUUGGUGGAUGGUGGUGCAUGGCCGUUCUUAGUUGGUGGAGUGAUUUGUCUGGUUAAUUCCGAUAACGAACGAGACUCUAGCCUAUUAAAUAAUACACGGAAUUUUAUCUUCCGCGGUAUUUCUUAGUGGGAUCAAGCG